GGUGGGCUGGCUCAGUGGUUAGAGCGUGUAGGUCUCGUAACCGAAAGGUUGCGGGAUCGAAUCCCGCUUGAGGCU
rnacentral:tRNA from 1 species